rnacentral:rRNA from 1 species
GAGCGGUAUAGAAUCUUCGGAUUUUAGAGAGCGGCGUACGGGUGCGGAACACGUGUGCAACCUACCUUUAUCUGGAGGAUAGCCUUUCGAAAGGAAGAUUAAUACUCCAUAAUAUAUUGAUUGGCAUCAAUUAAUAUUGAAAGCUCCGGCGGAUAGAGAUGGGCACGCGCAAGAUUAGUUAGUUGGUGAGGUAACGGCUCACCAAGACGAUGAUCUUUAGGGGGCCUGAGAGGGUGAUCCCCCACACUGGUACUGAGACACGGACCAGACUCCUACGGGAGGCAGCAGUGAGGAAUAUUGGACAAUGGGUGCAAGCCUGAUCCAGCCACUCCCGCGUGAAGGACGACUGCCUAUGGGUUGUAAACUUCUUUUGUAUAGGGAUAAACCUCUCCUCGUGAGGAGAGCUGAAGGUACUAUACGAAUAAGCACCGGCUAACUCCGUG